rnacentral:sRNA from 1 species
AUACACAGGACAGUAGCUGUAGUUUCACUAAUGACCAGGGUUGAUUCUGCCGCUCCAGCUGGCUAACUGGAUGCUGCCUGCCUUCCUCACACGUCGGUAUGUGUCUGUCUGUCCCAAAGCUGAAUGCUUGGCAGAGGAAGAUGGCAUUCCCUGAUAGAGAAAGCUAUUAUUCCACAGAAGGAAUACACAUAACUGUGCUGCCCUCCAAAUAAGCUUGCAAGAAUCAGUAAGUGAAUUAUAUAUUUCUAAAGACAAAAAGAAAUAUGGGCUUCUUAUCCAGAUAGUGAUUU